rnacentral:rRNA from 1 species
AUACGGAGGGUGCAAGCGUUACUCGGAAUCACUGGGCGUAAAGCGCGCGCAGGCGGUCUUUUAAGUUGGAUGUGAAAGCCUACGGCUCAACCGUAGAACUGCAUCCAAAACUGUCAAGCUAGAGUCUGGGAGGGGAAGAUGGAAUUAGUUGUGUAGGGGUAAAAUCCGUAGAGAUAACUAGGAAUACCAAAAGCGAAGGCGAUCUUCUGGAACAGUACUGACGCUGAGGCGCGAAAGCGUGGGGAGCAAACAGGAUUAGAAACCCCGGUAGUCC